rnacentral:rRNA from 1 species
CCUACGGGAGGCUGCAGUGGGGAAUAUUGGUCAAUGGGCGAGAGCCUGAACCAGCCAAGUCGCGUGAGGGAGUACUGCCCUAUGGGUUGUAAACCUCUUUUGUCGGGGAGCAAUUUGCGCUACGUGUAGCGUUAUCGAGAGUACCUGAAGAAAAAGCAUCGGCUAACUCCGUGCCAGCAGCCGCGGUAAUACGGAGGAUGCGAGCGUUAUCCGGAUUUAUUGGGUUUAAAGGGUGCGUAGGCGGAAUGCCAAGUCAGCGGUAAAAUCGCGGGGCUCAACCUCGCUCCGCCGUUGAAACUGGCGUUCUUGAGUGGGCGAGAAGUAUGCGGAAUGCGUGGUGUAGCGGUGAAAUGCAUAGAUAUCACGCAGAACUCCGAUUGCGAAGGCAGCAUACCGGCGCCCGACUGACGCUGAGGCACGAAAGCGUGGGUAUCGAACAGGAUUAGAUACCCCAGUAGUC